rnacentral:rRNA from 1 species
UACGUAGGGGGCUAGCGUUGUCCGGAAUCAUUGGGCGUAAAGCGCGCGCAGGCGGUCCUUUAAGUCUGAUGUGAAAGCCCACGGCUCAACCGUGGAGGGUCAUUGGAAACUGGGGGACUUGAGUACAGAAGAGAAGAGUGGAAUUCCACGUGUAGCGGUGAAAUGCGUAGAGAUGUGGAGGAACACCAGUGGCGAAGGCGGGUCUCUGGACAGUUCCUGACACUGAGGCACGAAGGCCAGGGGAGCAAACGGG